rnacentral:sRNA from 1 species
GCUAGGCAUGGUGGUGCAUGCCUUUAAUCCCAGCAGCUUGGGAGGCAGAGGCAGGAGGAUAGAAAGUUCAAAGGCAGCUUCAGCAAUUUAGUGAAGCCCUCAGCAACUCAGUGAGACCCUGUCUCAA